rnacentral:lncRNA from 1 species
ACUCCAGACCUUGAGAAGAAAACAGAUACUUGCUGAUUGCAUAAGAACAAAAUAAGAGAUAUUCCAAAUAAAUUAAAUCUACAUUACAGCAUAGGGCAUUUCAUGCUCAAAGAACAACAAAUCUUCUUCAUUUGAAAGUCAGAAUUACUACUAAUCAUCAUUGAAACUAACACACUUAGUAAAUCUACGCUAGAACCUUAUGGCUAUUCGAAUCAGAUAUUAAAAUGUAGCAACAUGUACUGAGUUUGUUCAGAUGCCCAAACCAAAAUCUGAAAGAGAUGAAAACCAUAGAUUAAUUAGUUGUGGCCUUAUAAUCACUUAACAACUUGAACCAAUAUGACCAAAGGCCUAACAAAGGGAGUUUUUCAUCUCAAUUAAGACUAUCUUUUGACAGUCCACCCCAAAAACAUGACAGAAAUGUUUAGACCCAAAGGAAAAUGACAAAACCUAAAAUCUAAAUACAAACUCAUUACACAUUUUAACAUUCAGGGCAUAAAUAAUUACAAAGAGUGAUAUAAUGAUGCAUAGACUGAUGUACAACUAAGGUAGGUAUGAGCACAUAAUUUUUGCCCUAUAUGAAUUGCUCCUAUAAAAUAAAAUAAAAAAUAGAUUUUUUCAAUUAUUUGCCAUUUUAUAGGAUUUGGUAGGAUUUUUAUUAAUUCUUUGCAUUUUUUGUGCACGUUUAAUUUUUAUUUUAAUUAUGAAAAAAUACCAAAAUAUCAUGCAUUGCAUUUAGGAUUUGUUUUUAUAUUUUUAGAAUUAACCAGUAAUUAUUUACUUUAUAAAAAUUUGAAAAUCACAAAAUAGCUCAUUUUUACAUUUUUUGUCUUUUACUUUUAGCCUCUCUGCCCCUCGGGGUAGGGGUAAGGUCUGCGUACAUACUACCCUCCCCAGACCCCACUGGUGGGAUUAUACUGGGAUGUUGUUAUUGUUGUUGUUGUCUUUUACUUUUAGUUAAUUGAUUUUCCUCUUUUAAUUUAGAAUUAAGUAAUGUUUACAAUCUUUAUAAUUAGUUAAUUAGUUUAAUUUCACAUUUUUUAGAUAAUCUAGGACUAUAAUUUUAGGAUUUUUAAUUAAAGAAGAAGAAAAAAAAACAAAGUAAAAGGAAUGAAAGAGGGGUUUUAAUAUGAAUUGGGCUAAAUCUUGUACCCAAAUCAGGCCAUAAUCCUAGCCUAAAUAUUACCCAAAUCUCUCCAAACUACCUAGGCCCGAAAACCGACCCGACCUGCCUGGCCCAAUAACCCAUUCCCCUCUCAUUAAAUCCUAAUCCUAAAGACUUUACCCAUCAGAUUUCCCCACCCUUAGAUAUUGAACGAAAACGACAGAUCCUUUUCCUCUUUUCUUCAUCCUCUUGAAAAACCAAAAUGAAGAAAAGAACUUCAUCGAAGAACCAGACCCCUAAUCCUUUUCCCCUUUCUCUGAAGAAGCAGUAUUGCUGCUGAUUUCUUCGUUCCCAGAAAUAAAAGGAAAGGUCGAACCACUCCAGCGCCCUUCUUCUUUCUUCUUCUUCAUCUUCCCAAACACAUGACACAGAGAUGAAAAAUAGAAGAAAAAAUACAAACGAAGAGAUUGAUUGAGUUUGAGGGUGGCUUGAAUUUAUUGCUAGAGGUUCUCUGGUUCAAGCCCAUUUCGGAGCUCAUUUUUUUCUUAUUUUCUCAUACCAAAAUCCAGAUCCGAUCUCUGAUUUGAGGGCUCGACAACGUAAACAAAGACCUUUUCCCAAAACCAGAAGAGAAAUUAUAAAAAAAAAGAAGAAGAAUCUGGCAUGUUCGGGUUUUAUUCAACUGCUGUGCAUUUUGUUUUCUUUUUCUGGGAUUUUUCUUAGUGGUUUGGGCUGUUGAAAUUGCUAAAUUUGGUGGAUUGGCUCGUUUUUGGACUGCUGAACUUCGCUCGAUUCGGUCGUCGCCUUAUUCAUUGUAAUAUGAGUCAACAUAUUAAUAUAAUGAAGCCGCCAUUCAUUUAAAAUGUCACACUUCAAACUUUAUUCUUCUUCCGACCUCCAGAUUUUAUGUCAUGAAUGUUGGUAUUGCUUGUUUGAUUUCUCUUGCUGAUGUACUUUUGCUCUUUAUUUCUGAAUUAGCAUAUCAAAAUGGAUAGUUUGAACUAUAUCCGUGUUUGCUGCUUUUGUUCCACAAGUUUACUGUGAGAAAUUGGUUUUAUUUAUUUUAACAAAAUGUUUGAUCCUUGGUCUCUCCAUUAUUAGCUUAAUAUAUUGGGGAAAUGAACAGGAUUAUAGAAUUAAUUUCAUCGACUUGUGCAAGCUCCAUUAUCUCUAGUUCAUUGCAAAAAAUUGGUUCAUUUUGUGUAUCGGGUAAAUUUGUUGAAGUGGUUAAAUAUGACCUAUUUUACUUGGAUUC